UUCUGGCCACUAUGAACAACACUUCUGUGAACAAGCGGGGGCCCAUUUUGUGCGGACAUAGGUUUUCACAUCUCUGGGAUGAACUGUUGUCUUAGAAUCAGGAGAGAGACACAGCAAGAGAAGGAACACAAGCAAGGGGAAUGAGAGAGGGGGAAGCAGACUCCCAGCUGAGCAGGGAGUCCAAUGCAGGAUUCGAUCCCAAGACCCUGGAAUCAUGACCUGGGCUGAAGAUUAAUGAUCAGCAAAAUAACAUUCAAGGAUCAUUAGCACACAGAAAUGCCAGAGGAACAAUAACAACAGAAAAACCUACACAAGAGCGAAGCAGGAAGAAGAAAUGAAUAAAUUAUUAACUCUACACCAAGUUUGAGGGGUUGGGAGGGAUGUGCCUCAUCUGCUUAGCUUAGGGCAGAAGAUGAUGACGGAGAGGUAGAGAUGGUAAAAGAACUAUUCAGGGCAAAGAAUAAGAAGCCAAUAAUAAUUAAAG